AUAAUCUACCCAGUAAUCCGGGAUAACAUCCCGAAAGAGAUGCUAAUACCUGAUAAGCCCACGAUCUCUUCGGAGAACGAGGGAAAAGGUGGGGACCUUCGGGCCUGCCGUUGCUGGAUGAGUCCGCGGCCCAUUAGCUAGUUGGUAGGGUAAUGGCCUACCAAGGCUACGAUGGGUAGCUGGUCUGAGAGGAUGAUCAGCCACACUGGAACUGAGACACGGUCCAG
rnacentral:rRNA from 1 species